CGUAUACGUUAAACGCAGCUUAAUAUGAAUCACUUUGUUUUAAUAUAAAAGCAACAAUAAAGCGAAUUAUUUCAUUGGUAAACCAACUUUCAAUCAAAUGCACUACAAUAGUGCUUAUUAACAGUUAGUAAACCAAGUUUGCAAUAGUUACUUUUUAGUAAUUUGUGAAUCGGGCUAUCAAAAUGUAUCUUAAUUUGUUAGUGUUUGUGACUGGGAUUAUCUCAAUUAUGGGACGCCCGACCGAAGAAGAUAAUGAUGUAAACUCAUCUGGCAGCUCAAAUCCAAUACUUCAAUGGCCGCUAGAAAGUAACAAGUUUUUGUUUCCGACGAUAUUGAACUCCAACGAUGUUAUAAACAUCACCGUUUUAAAUAAUUGUAAUAGUUUUGGAGUAAGUUUUAUGGGAGAUUAUGACGGUUCAACAGAUAAAGCCAUAUUUUCAUUGAAAAUAAAUAUGGAAUCCAGAUAUGUUACCGUCUACGACGAAUAUAAUGUACUACUUGUUGAAGAGGACAUUUAUCACUUCUUUCAUACCGGCGAAGG